rnacentral:rRNA from 1 species
CCUACGGGAGGCAGCAGUGGGGAAUAUUGGACAAUGGGGGGAACCCUGAUCCAGCGACGCCGCGUGAGUGAAGAAGUCUUUCGGUAUGUAAAGCUCUAUCAGCAGGGAAGAAAGACAUGACGGUACCUGACUACGAAGCCCCGGCUAACUACGUGCCAGCAGCCGCGGUAAUACGUAGGGGGCAAGCGUUAUCCGGAUUUACUGGGUGUAAAGGGAGCGUAGACGGCGAUGCAAGUCUGAAGUGAAAGGCGGGGGCCCAACCCCUGGACUGCUUUGGAAACUGUAUGGCUGGAGUGCAGGAGAGGUAAGUGGAAUUCCUAGUGUAGCGGUGAAAUGCGUAGAUAUUAGGAGGAACACCAGUGGCGAAGGCGGCUUACUGGACUGUAACUGACGUUGAGGCUCGAAAGCGUGGGGAGCAAACAGGAUUAGAUACCCUUGUAGUC